CAGUCGUACCUUCGGGUAAUCAGCCUUUCGGGUGCGAUUCUGUGGAGUGUGAGGAGCUUAACACCUUCAUGCUUUGCAUAUUUGUGCUCUUGGGUGUACUUGCCCGUGUGGUUGGUUAACAUCAAUUUUGAUUAUCAUAAAAUGAUUGGAGGAAUGUAGCUUCGAUCUCGUAUUGAAGUGUUAUAGCCUUCGGUAGAUGUGAUGAUCGAGAUUGAGGAUUGCAACGGAUACCCUUCGGGGCUACCUGUCUGGUCUCUGAUCGUUGCUCUGGUGCCGAAAGCGUGCUUACGGUUAUCAAAGUCGAUGGUCAAUAGGUUAGAACGGGUUAAA
rnacentral:rRNA from 1 species